rnacentral:rRNA from 1 species
AGAGUUUGAUCCUGGCUCAGGACGAACGCUGGCGGCGUGCCUAAUACAUGCAAGUAGAACGCUGAAGAGAGGAGCUUGCUCUUCUUGGAUGAGUUGCGAACGGGUGAGUAACGCGUAGGUAACCUGCCUUGUAGCGGGGGAUAACUAUUGGAAACGAUAGCUAAUACCGCAUAACAAUGGGUGACACAUGUCAUUUAUUUGAAAGGGGCAAUUGCUCCACUACAAGAUGGACCUGCGUUGUAUUAGCUAGUAGGUGAGGUAACGGCUCACCUAGGCGACGAUACAUAGCCGACCUGAGAGGGUGAUCGGCCACACUGGGACUGAGACACGGCCCAGACUCCUACGGGAGGCAGCAGUAGGGAAUCUUCGGCAAUGGGGGCAACCCUGACCGAGCAACGCCGCGUGAGUGAAGAAGGUUUUCGGAUCGUAAAGCUCUGUUGUAAGUCAAGAACGAGUGUGAGAGUGGAAAGUUCACACUGUGACGGUAGCUUACCAGAAAGGGACGGCUAACUACGUGCCAGCAGCCGCGGUAAUACGUAGGUCCCGAGCGUUGUCCGGAUUUAUUGGGCGUAAAGCGAGCGCAGGCGGUUUGAUAAGUCUGAAGUUAAAGGCUGUGGCUCAACCAUAGUUCGCUUUGGAAACUGUCAAACUUGAGUGCAGAAGGGGAGAGUGGAAUUCCAUGUGUAGCGGUGAAAUGCGUAGAUAUAUGGAGGAACACCGGUGGCGAAAGCGGCUCUCUGGUCUGUAACUGACGCUGAGGCUCGAAAGCGUGGGGAGCAAACAGGAUUAGAUACCCUGGUAGUCCACGC